CGCUUUCAGUCCACGUGUGAAUUUUUCGAGUCGAGUUUCGUUCUUAAGCGUCCGAGGCAAUGCAUUAAAAAGCGUCGGUCCAGCAUACUGCAGACUACGCUUACCAUAGUUAGACGAAACUAGUGGCCUCUUAAGAAGGAAUCGUAAGCACGCGGGGGAACUCAACUUCGAAAAGCUGCUUAGUAGGGUAACGCGAUGGCAGCUUGUGAGCGGCUUUGAGAGCUCUUCUAUGUAGAACUUGUAACUCAUCUAUCACAGUUUUGUUGGCAGAACCCCAGACACCUGCGCAAUAUGUAAGGUGGCAAUGUACAGUUGAAAAGUAUAUAAGACGGAGAAUCUUCACCGGCAGAAAACGAAGUCUUUUCAUAACACCGAUACCACGGGAAAUGGUACCACAUAUACCGGCUAUGUGCUCAUUCCAGUUGACAAAUUCAUCCAACAACAACCCCAGACACCUGGCCGAGGCACUCACCUUAAUCGACACACCAUUGAAAAAGAGUUCAGGCAAUCCAUCAAUUUUGACGUGCGGCUUACGGAAGUGAACCACCUUGGUUUUCUUCAAAUUCAGUGUCAGCUUGUUAACUCGAAAAUACUCAGCAACAAUACGAAGGUCAUCUGAAAGGUUACCGACGUUGUCAGAGAUCAAGGCUGAAGACACGAACAUGUUGGUAUCGUCGGCAAAACCGAACGGCGAAGACCUGAUCGGCAGAUCGAAAAAGUCAUUUAUAAAGAUGAUAAAAAGCAGCGGUGAAAGUACACCUCCUUGCGGUACACCAACCGUUACGUCAGUCAUUUCGCUCCUGACCCCAUUACACUCUGUACACUGCUUUCUAUCGCUGAGAUAGCUCCUUAUUAGACUGAGCGCUACUCCACGGAUCCCGGCAACCUCAAGCUUAGC